rnacentral:rRNA from 1 species
UGAGGAAUUUUGCGCAAUGGGGGCAACCCUGACGCAGCAACGCCGCGUGGGUGAUGAAGGCCUUCGGGUCGUAAAGCCCUGUCAGGUGGGAAGAAAGCCCUGGGGAUGAAAAAGCCUUGGGAGUGACGGUACCACCAGAGGAAGCACCGGCUAACUCCGUGCCAGCAGCCGCGGUAAUACGGAGGGUGCGAGCGUUAUUCGGAAUUACUGGGCGUAAAGCGCGUGUAGGCGGCUUGACAAGUCUGAUGUGAAAGCCCUGGGCUCAACCUGGGAAGUGCAUUGGAAACUGGUAGGCUUGAGUACCGGAGAGGAUGGGGGAAUUCCCGGUGUAGAGGUGAAAUUCGUAGAGAUCGGGAGGAAUACCAGUGGCGAAGGCGCCCAUCUGGACGGCUACUGACGCUGAGACGCGAGAGCGUGGGGAGCAAACA